rnacentral:rRNA from 1 species
CGGUGCAGGAAGAAGGCCUUCGGGUUGUAAACUGCUUUUGUCAGGAAAGAAAUCCUCUGGGUUAAUACCUCGGGGGGAUGACGGUACCUGAAGAAUAAGCACCGGCUAACUACGUGCCAGCAGCCGCGGUAAUACGUAGGGUGCGAGCGUUAAUCGGAAUUACUGGGCGUAAAGCGUGCGCAGGCGGUUAUGCAAGACAGAGGUGAAAUCCCCGGGCUCAACCUGGGAACUGCCUUUGUGACUGCAUGGCUAGAGUACGGUAGAGGGGGAUGGAAUUCCGCGUGUAGCAGUGAAAUGCGUAGAUAUGCGGAGGAACACCGAUGGCGAAGGCAAUCCCCUGUACCUGUACUGACGCUCAUGCACGAAAGCGUGGGGAGCAAACAGGAUUAGAUACCCUGGUAGUCCACGCCCUAAACGAUGUCAACUGGUUGUUGGACGGCUUGCUGUUCAGUAACGAAGCUAACGCGUGAAGUUGACCGCCUGGGGAGUACGGCCGCAAGGUUGAAACUCAGAGGAAUUGACGGGGACCCGCACAAGCGGUGGAUGAUGUGGUUUAAUUCGAUGCAACGCGAAGAGACUGUACUAUCCUUGACAUGCUAGGAAUCUUGCAGAGA